AUGAACGCUAGCGGCAGGCCUAACACAUGCCAGUCGAGGGAGAAGCCCUUUCGGGGGCAGAAACCGGCGCACGGGUGCGUAACGCGUAUGCAACCUACCUUUCACAGGGGGAUAGCCCGAAGAAAUUUGGAUUAAUACCCCAUAAUAUUAUUGGAUGGCAUCAUUUGAUAAUUAAAACUGCGGUGGUGAAAGAUGGGCAUGCGUCCUAUUAGCUAGUUGGAGUGGUAACGGCACCCCAAGGCUACGAUAGGUAGGGGUCCUGAGAGGGAGAUCCCCCACACUGGUACUGAGACAGGGACCAGACUCCUACGGGAGGCAGCAGUGAGGAAUAUUGGUCAAUGGUCGGAAGACUGAACCAGCCAUGCCGCGUGCAGGAAGAAUGCCUUAUGGGUUGUAAACUGCUUUUAUAUGGGAAGAAUAAGGCGUACGUGUACGUUGAUGACGGUACCAUAUGAAUAAGCAUCGGCUAACUCCGUG
rnacentral:rRNA from 1 species